rnacentral:rRNA from 1 species
GACGAACUGUCCUAACGUUGUUCGGAAUCACUGGGCUUAAAGGGCGCGUAGGCGGUCCAUCAAGUCAGGGGUGAAAUCCUGCAGCUUAACUGUAGAAGUGCCUUUGAUACUGAUGGUCUGGAGGGAAAUAGGGGUGUGCGGAACUUCCAGUGGAGCGGUGAAAUGCGUUGAUAUUGGAAGGAACGCCGGAGGCGAAAGCGGCGCACUGGAUUUCUUCUGACGCUGAGGCGCGAAAGCCAGGGGAGCAAACGGGAUUAGAUACCCCAGUAGU